rnacentral:rRNA from 1 species
UACGAAGGGGGCUAGCGUUGCUCGGAAUCACUGGGCGUAAAGGGUGCGUAGGCGGGUUUUUAAGUCAGGGGUGAAAUCCUGGAGCUCAACUCCAGAACUGCCUUUGACACUGAAGAUCUUGAGUCCGGGAGAGGUGAGUGGAACUGCGAGUGUAGAGGUGAAAUUCGUAGAUAUUCGCAAGAACACCAGUGGCGAAGGCGGCUCACUGGCCCGAUACUGACGCUGAUGCACGAAAGCGUGGGGAGCAAACAGG